rnacentral:rRNA from 1 species
UGGGGAAUAUUGCACAAUGGGCGGAAGCCUGAUGCAGCGACGCCGCGUGAGGGAUGACGGCCUUCGGGUUGUAAACCUCUUUCAGCAGGGAAGAAGCGCAAGUGACGGUACCUGCAGAAGAAGCACCGGCUAACUACGUGCCAGCAGCCGCGGUAAUACGUAGGGUGCGAGCGUUGUCCGGAAUUAUUGGGCGUAAAGAGCUUGUAGGCGGUUUGUCGCGUCUGCUGUGAAAAUCCGGGGCUCAACUCCGGACUUGCAGUGGGUACGGGCAGACUAGAGUGUGGUAGGGGGAGACUGGAAUUCCUGGUGUAGCGGUGGAAUGCGCAGGAUAUCAGGAGGAACACCGAUGGCGAAGGCAGGUCUCUGGGCCGACUACUGACGCUGAGAAGCGAAAGCAUGGGGAGCGAACAGGAUUAGAUACCCGUGGUAGUCCAUGCCGUAAACGUUGGGCG